UUUAUGGAGAGUUUGAUCCUGGCUCAGGAUGAACGCUGGCGGCGUGCCUAAUACAUGCAAGUCAAGCGAACGGACGAGAAGCUUGCUUCUCUGAUGUUAGCGGCGGACGGGUGAGUAACACGUGGAUAACCUACCUAUAAGACUGGGAUAACUUCGGGAAACCGGAGCUAAUACCGGAUAAUAUUUUGAACCGCAUGGUUCAAAAGUGAAAGACGGUCUUGCUGUCACUUAUAGAUGGAUCCGCGCUGCAUUAGCUAGUUGGUAAGGU
rnacentral:rRNA from 1 species